CUACCCUGGCUGCCAUCUAGGAUGAGUGGCUGGCUCAGACCCUAGUGUCAGCGCCCUAAUCCCCACCGGGCCAGGCACCGGUGCUGUGUUGUGCGGGCACGCUCUCUGGAAGUUUCUACAUCCAGAAACUUCCACCAUCGAAACAGUCUGGGACAAAAUACGAAUAUAUUUGGGUCGUGUUUCAGAGGAGUCUAUCCACGGUCACAAUUAUUCCUCUGGGCCUGUGACGUCACAUCACAUCACACCACGUCACAUCAUCAUGUGGAGCAUGUGCUGGGGAAAGCCUGCUACCUCAUUGUAGUUGGUAAGUAAAGAGAAAAGGAGAGCAAGAUGGUCUCAUUGGGGGUACCAAUGUCACCUUCGAGGGCAUCCCUGGUUAAGUCAUUAAUUGUCUAUUAGGCCCUCCCUCUUAAU
rnacentral:lncRNA from 1 species